rnacentral:rRNA from 1 species
AGUUUGAUCAUGGCUCAGGACGAACGCUGGCGGCGUGCUUAAUACAUGCAAGUCGAGCGGGGUUACUGUUUUGGAUCCCUUCGGGGUGAAGAAGCUUUAACCUAGCGGCGGACGGGUGAGUAACGCGUGGGUAACCUACCCCAAAGUCCGGGAUAACAGCGGGAAACCGCUGCUAAUACCGGAUGCCUUUACCUUGGGGCAUCUUGAGGUAAAGAAAGGUAACGCUUUGGGAUGGGCCCGCGUCCCAUUAGCUAGUUGGUGAGGUAACGGCUCACCAAGGCGACGAUGGGUAGCCGGCCUGAGAGGGUGGACGGCCACACUGGGACUGAGACACGGCCCAGACUCCUACGGGAGGCAGCAGUAGGGAAUAUUGCGCAAUGGACGGAAGUCUGACGCAGCGACGCCGCGUGAGCGAUGAAGGUCUUCGGAUCGUAAAGCUCUGUCCUUGGGGAAGAAGGUCUUCGGACUUGACGGUACCCAAGAAGAAAGCCCCGGCUAACUACGUGCCAGCAGCCGCGGUAAUACGUAGGGGGCGAGCGUUGUCCGGAAUUACUGGGCGUAAAGGGUGCGUAGGCGGCCCUUUAAGUCGGAUGUGAAAGCCCGCGGCUUAACCGCGGAAUGGCAUUCGAAACUGGAGGGCUUGAGUGUCGGAGAGGGUAGUGGAAUUCCCAGUGUAGCGGUGAAAUGCGUAGAUAUUGGGAGGGACACCAGUGGCGAAGGCGACUACCUGGACGAUAACUGACGCUGAGGCACGAAAGCUAGGGGAGCAAACAGGAUUAGAUACCCUGGUAGUCCUAGCCGUAAACGAUGGGUACUAGGUGUGGGUGGUUUCGAUACCAUCCGUGCCGUAGUUAACGCAUUAAGUACCCCGCCUGGGGAGUACGUGCGCAAGCAUGAAACUCAAAUGAAUUGACGG